rnacentral:rRNA from 1 species
AGUGGCGAACGGGUGAGUAACACGUGAGUAACCUGCCCUUGACUCUGGGAUAACUGCUAGAAAUGGUAGCUAAUACCGGAUACGACCCUCGGCGGCAUCGCCAGGGGGUGGAAAGAAUUUCGGUCAAGGAUGGACUCGCGGCCUAUCAGCUAGUUGGUGAGGUAACGGCUCACCAAGGCGACGACGGGUAGCCGGCCUGAGAGGGUGACCGGCCACACUGGGACUGAGACACGGCCCAGACUCCUACGGGAGGCAGCAGUGGGGAAUAUUGCACAAUGGGCGCAAGCCUGAUGCAGCAACGCCGCGUGAGGGAUGACGGCCUUCGGGUUGUAAACCUCUUUUAGUAGGGAAGAAGCGAAAGUGACGGUACCUGCAGAAAAAGCACCGGCUAACUACGUGCCAGCAGCCGCGGUAAUACGUAGGGUGCAAGCGUUGUCCGGAAUUAUUGGGCGUAAAGAGCUCGUAGGCGGUUUGUCGCGUCUGCUGUGAAAUCCCGAGGCUCUACCUCGGGCCUGCAGUGGGUACGGGCAAACUAGAGUGUGGUAGGGGAGAUUGGAACUCCUGGUGUAGCGGUGGAAUGCGCAGAUAUCAGGAAGAACACCGAUGGCGAAGGCAGAUCUCUGGGCCAUUACUGACGCUGAGGAGCGAAAGCGUGGGGAGCGAACAGGAUUAGAUACCCUGGUAGUCCACGCCGUAAACG